rnacentral:rRNA from 1 species
CGAAAGCCUGACGGAGCAAUACCGCGUGAGGGAGGAAGGCUUUUGGGUUGUAAAUCUCUUUUAAUAAGGAAGAAGAAAGUGACGGUACUUAUUGAAUAAGUAUCGGCUAACUCCGUGCCAGCAGCCGCGGUAAUACGGAGGAUGCGAGCGUUAUCCGGAAUCAUUGGGCGUAAAGAGUCUGUAGGUGGCACUUCAAGUCUGCUGUCAAAGACCGAAGCUUAACUUCGGGCAGGCGGUGGAAACUGAAGAGCUAGAGUAAAGCAGGGGUAGAGGGAAUUCCCAGUGUAGCGGUGAAAUGCGUAGAGAUUGGGAAGAACACCAGUGGCGAAGGCGCUCUACUGGGCUAAAACUGACACUGAGAGACGAAAGCUAGGGUAGCG